rnacentral:misc_RNA from 1 species
CAUUUGUAUUUCUGCAAUAACAAGUAAUAAUGGCAGAAAAUGACCAAAAACCAAAAGUAAGUUAUAAAUUUAGUAACUUCUUUAUGGAAGUAGGCAAUAAAGCUACUUAUAUUUGAAUAUUUACAGCUUUUUUUCUUAAUUUAUUUUUAACUAUAAAUUCAGGGAUUUUGUUUGCAAAAUAUGCUUUUUAUAAGUAUUCAUAGCUGACAGAUAACGCUUGUAACUGUAAAAAUGGUAGAAAAUAAAUAGUUGACGUGAUUUUUUCUACCUAAAAAGCGCUUAAAAGAUUGUUGAGUAGACAGUUUUUUUAACAUUGAAAGUUCUCCACUUUUCACUUUGAGUUCAUUGCCUAAAAGAACUGUUUUCUCGGUUGAAGCAAAUUUGGUCACUUAGUAAAGAUUCAAUUUAUCAUUUUCAGUCAAAAAAAGGUAUUAUUGGCAUCAACAAGAUUUAUAACGUAGAAGAAACUUACCCUAAUAUGGUUGUAUAUCGCUCUUUUCAAAUAAUUUUUCAGCAUAUGUUAAUUCUGACAUUUUUAACUUUCAGAUUACGAUUAACACACCGCCUCAUAGCCCAGAAGGUAAAGCAUUUAGAGCACGCUUUAAAAUUGCUCUUCCCAUAUUCUUAAAAUAUAUCCCGAAAAAAAUCUUAUAUGUGCUUACAUCAUCCUACAGCUGAGACUGACGAGGAAUACUUCAGGAUUGUGAGGGAAUUUCCCAUAAGUAACUAUUUGAAAUAUUACCUUCUGUACAAUAAAGUAUACUCUAUCAAUGCUUACAUAUUGCGUCCUAGAUGAGGUUGUGAUUGCGACCGACAACCCAAACGGAAAGGAAAAGACGGCAAAUGAGAUUAUUCCAGUUGGAAUUCCGCCACGUGAGGAUACAUCAGGAGCUGGUAAGAGAAAAGUGGAAGACGAAGAAGAAGAUGAAUAUGAUGGGGUAUUUAGACGUCCUAAAGUUCCGAAAAGUCCCCUAGUCGUAAAAAGUAGGAAAGAUGUCUUCGAACAAGAAAAAUGGCCACAAGAAACUUGA